GUAUUAUAUCAAAGGAGAGAAGGGUAGCACUCCCUUUGACAAUGAAAGAGGCCCUCAGGCCUGACAACACACAUAGUUAAAGGCACUGCCACCUCCUUCAUGGCAUCUAACCAAUUUUUUUU
rfam:Tupaia chinensis contig208913, whole genome shotgun sequence.